GGGCAAUGAGAUUAACAUGUUAAAUCUUGGCCAGAGUUCUUUCUGUAAAUUAUUGGGCUUUGCCUCUACACUGCCGUCGAAAUGACAGAAAGUAACAUGGUGAAAACUGAAAAAGCAUGCAUAAUGUAUUUAUUAUCCAUGAUUUUACAUUACAGCUAUUUUGUGAACCUUAUUUCUCAAGCACAAUACAGGUUUCCAGUUUAGUCUUUACUCUUCGCCAUGUUCUAUUCUUAAUGUAUCAAGGUAAGAUUUUGAUCGAAGUUCGCGAGAGAAUAAGCCCUUGAAGAACUCCUUAACCGUGAUUCUUUUAAACAUUGCCGGCGUUUCCUUGGUAAUCAAGCUCCGUGCUGGACUUAUUUCACCAUCAAACCUCGGAGAAUGGAAUGCAACAAUUGAGAGCCUUUCCUUCUGAGAGUUCACUGUUGCACGAUGCAGGAUGCUACGAUAUGUGCCAUUGGUUAUGAUCUCCAAAAUGUCUCCAAUGUUGAUAACAAAGGCAUUUGGUAGGGGCUUCACAUGAAUCCACCUCCCAUCUUUCCUAAUCUGAAGACCUUCAACAUCAUUAAUUUGUAGGAGAAUGGAGAGACCCGUGCCAUCUGAAUGAGGGGUCAGGCCAAUGACCUUCUCUGGUUGAGGACAAGGCGGAUAAUAGUUCAUUCUCAUUGUUUGCCUUAUGCCUUCAAUGAAGAUCUCUCUCAUUUCCUCAUCUCUAAUUUUCAGCACUUUUGCCAUCUGCUCAAGGAUGACCACAGCUAAAUUUUUCACUUCUGAUGAAUAACUCUCCAAGGUGUCUCUGAAAGGAAGAGGGAGCUUUGGAAACAAGUGAGGCUUCCUCAAAUGAACUGGUUGAGUGACCAUGAAGAAAAGAUCAGCCCAGUCAAGCUUCUGCUCUUCAGACACAACAAAGGCCUGACCAAAUCCCUCUACUUCUCCAGGAUACUGCCAGAAUUUUUUCUUCUCCUCCAUUGGGAGGUUAAAGAAAUCCUGAAGUUCUGUCUUCAUUCUCUCCAACAAUGAAGAGCUUACUCCAUGGUUUAUCAACUGUGAUAGUUCAGCAAAUGAAGCAUGCACAAAAACUAUGGCAAGCUACAACAGCUCUGAAUUUUGAGCAUUUACACCACUUGUGAAGAUUAAAAAUUCAUCACAAUUCCAUUGAAUUCUGUCAAGAUGUUGUAGAAUUUCUAUUUGUUUACGCUAAAUUUCUUAGCUUGCUCUCCUCUCGUGUAAGUUUCCAAUCAAUUUUAAGAAUUUUGAUUUUCCAAAGAUUAGAUCCUUGGUUUUUGAAUUUUCUAUUUGUUGAUUUUUUAUAGCAGCAGUGAGAACAUGGUCCUACUACUACAAUUUCCUGAGCGAGUAAAAUAAGCAACAAGAAAGUAAAGCAACUGGCAUUUUCUUGUACAUUGGUUUAACGAUGUUUGCUAAGAAAGCUAUUUCUUGCAAUAGCAAAACCAGUGAAAUUGUUAACCAUUAUCAAUGAACCCAAAGUGCAAUUGUGAGAAUUGAAUUGUUUUUGGGUUGUCUUCUUCCUUGUCAACUACUAAUCAUAGAGAAGACUAUGGUAAUGAUCCUGCGUUUUACUUUUCUUGCUUUGAAAAAGAAGAAGAAAGAAGAGUGCGUAUACCUGGAAGAAACCCCAUUCCUUGCAAGCAAAAUGGAGCUUGGCCAAUUCAGAAUCCAUGGACUCUUGGUUAUGUAACCUCUGCAUAUCGAUAACUGUAACCUCAGGCAAUGGGGCAUCAUCCUCAACAACAACGAUGGGAUGAUCUUGAUCAGGGCGUAUGUACCUUGGUGGGACAGUAACCAAGGGCUCCUUGGCCAAUUCUUGGACACAAGGAACCAACAGAGAGGUUCCAAGACUGCUUCCUUUUGAUUCCAUGCUCUUCUUGCCCAACAGAUCCUUUAUUUGGCAAUCGCUAUUCCUCCUCAAACGAAUACAAAGCAGAAGAGGUUUAUAAGGGACACAAGAAAGUUUGAGGACAAAGUCG
rnacentral:misc_RNA from 1 species